rnacentral:misc_RNA from 1 species
AAGCAAGGUGCUGCGUGGUGCGUGCGACUCGUCAGAGGUUUCCGGGGCCGCUCUCUGCUCCCACUCGCUGCCGCGUAGUGCACCAGGAGCAUACAAUCACACGCAUGCACAGCACACGGGCACGCGCCCACGUGUGACUGCAAGAGGUGCGCCUGUCACCGCCUCCCCUCCCCCUCUUUUCCUUUCUUUUACCCUUUGUUUCGGAUCUCGAGUAAUAUGAACCGCAUUCCUGCUGCGGCGCGCAACGCGCCGAUGUACGCGACAGCCAUGUCGCAGUUUGCCGUGUGCCGCCAGCCGUGGAACGAGUACAUCAGUCUGCUUACCAAGGACGACGCGCAGCCGUUUCACACGACGCCGCAGGAAAAGCCGGCGUACCGCGGCCGCAAGCGCGGGCGUGAGGGGUGGCUGUUUGGCCAGCAAGUGCAGUUGCACUACCAUCGCUUCCCCGAUGAGCAACUCUUCACAAACCUAACACGGUGGCGCAUGGGUGACACAGUCGGUGACGUUGCCAUCCAGCAGUUCCGCAACGCGCAGCCGUUUGACAUUGAGGGCAAGGAUCCGCAAGGCUUUCAGAGACCGGCGCCGGAGGUUUAUAUGAAGUUGAACUACAAAAACCCAGCGACCAUCUCCCGGUUCCUGACACGCACCGGCCACAUGUACCCACAGGAUAUCAUGCCCCUCAACCCCGAGGCCGUUGUGAAGCUGCGCGUCGCCAAGGCGCAGGCCAUCCGCAUCGGCCUCUACCCUCGUUUUGGCAAUCCCUUCUGGUUCCGCUCACAGCGCUUCCGCCCCAAGGCGUACCAGGAGAACUACGAUCCAACCACCUACUCCACCAAGCACACCAUGGAGCACUUUGCGUACAACUGGGUGCAAACGGACCGGAUUCGGCAGUACUUCAAAGGGCUAGAGGAGCUGCACCAGAGCCGCCGCGCCACGGCCAGCUCUGGCGGUGGCGGCGUGACCAGCGAGCACAAGCAGCAGAGUCAGCUCUAUGCGGUAGACAACCUCUCGAUCGAGAUGCAUCGCAAUGCUCCGUCCUACAGGGCCGAUGUGGAGCGGUCCAUCAAGAACCCCACCGUGCCUGGAUUGAUGUCGACCAAAGGCAUGAAGAAGAAGUUCCACAACUUGUACUCCUCCACCUCGACAAAGAGGAUGGGCUUCUCGAACCCCACGCUGGGCAUCAAAAAGGUGUAACGACGGUGGGGAGUGGCGGUAGUGGCGGCAGGGGGCUGGGUUGGUUGCUUGCCAACAGCUAGGGUAUGUAUGUCUGUUUGCAUGUAUAUGUAUGCGUUUGUGUGGACGGCGAGGUCGUCAUGAUGGAUUGGCCCCUUUUUUUUUUCGUUUCGCGUGUUUGCUGUUGAGAGAGUGCAGGACGAAGAGUGGUCAUGCAUGUCUGUGACCGAGGCGCCGAUGACUUCGUUUCAUCAUCUUAUUUCGGCCGCCCAAGAAGCAAGGGCGUCGUUGUUGUGUUUGGGUUUCAAGUGGUCAUGUUGGCACGCGUUGAAUGCCGCCCGUGCCAACGCCGGCUCGCGUGCGAGUACUUUAAUGUUCGUGCGGUUGAGGGGGCGGCGGUGAACCCGAGGCCAGCCUUGGUUUCCCUAGCCCUUCUCUGUGCGUGGGUCGCCUACAUAGCUAACUUC